rnacentral:rRNA from 1 species
UACAGAGGGUGCGAGCGUUGUCCGGAAUCACUGGGCGUAAAGGGCGCGUAGGUGGCUUGCCAAGCGUGUGGUGAAAGCCCGGAGCUCAACUCCGGGUCGGCCAUGCGAACUGGCAGGCUAGAGCACGGUAGAGGCCAAUGGAAUUCCGGGUGUAGCGGUGGAAUGCGUAGAGAUCCGGAAGAACACCAGUGGCGAAGGCGGUCUGCUGGGCCGUUGCUGACGCUGAGGCGCGACAGCGUGGGGAGCAAACAGG